rnacentral:rRNA from 1 species
UACGUAGGGGGCUAGCGUUGUCCGGAAUCAUUGGGCGUAAAGCGCGUGUAGGCGGUCCGGUAAGUCCGCUGUGAAAGUCGGGGGCUCAACCCUCGGAUGCCGGUGGAUACUGUCGGGCUUGAGUACGGAAGAGGCGAGUGGAAUUCCUGGUGUAGCGGUGAAAUGCGCAGAUAUCAGGAGGAACACCAAUGGCGAAGGCAGCUCACUGGGACGGUAUUGACGCUGAGACGCGAAAGCGUGGGGAGCAAACAGG